AUACUUACCCGGCAAGGGAGAUACCGGAUCAAGAAGGCGGUUCACCCAGGGCGAGGUCAGCCAUUGCACUCCGGCUGUGCUGACCCCUGCGAAGU
rnacentral:snRNA from 8 species